GCAUCGGUGGUGUAGUAGUAGAGCACGCAUUCCCGGAUAGGGUGAAACGCGGGUUCGAUUCCCGCCUGAGACC